GGCAGCAGUAGGGAAUCUUGCGCAAUGGGCGAAAGCCUGACGCAGCCAUGCCGCGUGAAUGAUGAAGGUCUUAGGAUUGUAAAAUUCUUUCACCGGGGAAGAUAAUGACGGUACCCGGAGAAGAAGCCCCGGCUAACUUCGUGCCAGCAGCCGCGGUAAUACGAAGGGGGCUAGCGUUGCUCGGAAUUACUGGGCGUAAAGGGCGCGUAGGCGGAUAGUCUAGUCAGAGGUAAAAGCCCAGGGCUCAACCUUGGAACUGCCUUUGAUACUGGCUAUCUUGAGUUCGGGAGAGGUGAGUGGAAUGCCGAGUGUAGAGGUGAAAUUCGUAGAUAUUCGGCGGAACACCAGUGGCGAAGGCGACUCACUGGCCCGAUACUGACGCUGAGGCGCGAAAGCGUGGGGAGCAAACAGGAUUAGAUACCCUGGUAGUCCACGCUGUAAACGAUGAGUGCUAGUUGUCGGCAUGCAUGCAUGUCGGUGACGCAGCUAACGCAUUAAGCACUCCGCCUGGGGAGUACGGUCGCAAGAUUAAAACUCAAAGGAAUUGACGG
rnacentral:rRNA from 1 species